rnacentral:rRNA from 1 species
UACAGAGGGUGCAAACGUUGUUCGGAUUUACUGGGCGUAAAGCGCGUGUAGGCGGCCGGCCAAGUCGGAUGUGAAAGCCCGGGGCUCAACCUCGGAAGUGCAUUCGAUACUGGUCGGCUGGAGUCUCGGAGAGGCGGGUGGAACUCUCGGUGUAGAGGUGAAAUUCGUAGAUAUCGAGAAGAACACCGGUGGCGAAGGCGGCCCGCUGGACGAAGACUGACGCUGAGACGCGAAAGCGUGGGGAGCAAACAG